rnacentral:rRNA from 1 species
AUUGAACGCUAGCGGCAUGCCUUACACAUGCAAGUCGAACGGCAGCGGGGGAGCUUGCUCCCGCCGGCGAGUGGCGAACGGGUGAGUAAUACAUCGGAACGUACCCAGUAGCGGGGGAUAGCCCGGCGAAAGCCGGAUUAAUACCGCAUACGCCCUACGGGGAAAGGGGGGGAUCGCAAGACCUCUCACUAUUGGAGCGGCCGGUGGCUGAUGAGCUAGGUGGUGGGGUAAAGGCCUACCAAGGCGACGAUCAGUAGCUGGUCUGAGAGGACGACCAGCCACACUGGGACUGAGACACGGCCCAGACUGCUACGGGAGGCAGCAGUGGGGAAUUUUGGACAAUGGGCGAAAGCCUGAUCCAGCAAUGCCGCGUGUGCGAAGAAGGCCUUCGGGUUGUAAAGCACUUUUGUCAGGGAAGAAAUCGUUUGGGUUAAUACCCCGAGCAGUUGACGGUACCUGAAGAAUAAGCACCGGCUAACUACGUGCCAGCCGCCGCAGUAA